GUGCCAGCAGCCGCGGUAAUACGAAGGGGGCUAGCGUUGUUCGGAAUCACUGGGCGUAAAGCGCACGUAGGCGGACCAUUAAGUCAGGGGUGAAAGCCUGGAGCUCAACUCCAGAACUGCCUUUGAUACUGAUGGUCUCGAGUUCGGAAGAGGUUGGUGGAACUGCGAGUGUAGAGGUGAAAUUCGUAGAUAUUCGCAAGAACACCAGUGGCGAAGGCGGCCAACUGGUCCGAUACUGACGCUGAGGUGC
rnacentral:rRNA from 1 species